rnacentral:rRNA from 1 species
GAUGAACGCUGGCGGCGUGCCUAAUACAUGCAAGUAGAACGCUGAAGUAGGAGCUUGCUCUUCUGGAUGAGUUGCGAACGGGUGAGUAACGCGUAGGUAACCGGCCUGGUAGCGGGGGAUAACUAUUGGAAACGAUAGCUAAUACCGCAUGACAGCAGUUAUUGCAUGAUAACUGUUUGAAAGUGGCAACUGCUCCACUACCAGAUGGGCCUGCGUUGUAUUAGCUAGUUGGUGAGGUAACGGCUCACAAAGGCGACGAUACAUAUCCGACCAGAGAGGGUGAGCGGACAAACUGGGACUGAGACAUGGCCCAGAACCCUACGGGAGGGAGCAGGCGGGAAUCUUCGGGAAUGGCCGGAAGGCUGACCGAGCGACGCCGGGUGAGAGAAGAAGCUUGUCGGAUCGUAAAGGCCUGUUGUAAGAGAGGAACGAGUGUGAGAGUGGAAAGUUCACACUGUGACGGUAUCUUACCAGAAAGCGACGGCUAACUACGUG